rnacentral:snRNA from 1 species
GUGCUCGCUUUGGCAGCACAUAUACUAAAAUUGAAACGAUACAGAGAAGAUUAGCGUGGCCCCUCCGCAAGGAUGACACACAAAUUCGUGAAGCGUUCCAUAUUUUU